CCCUUAGAUGUCCUGGGCCGCACGCGUGCUACACUGACACCUGCAGCGAGUACUUCCCAGCUCCGAGAGGCAGCUGGUAAUCAGCAAUAGGUGUCGUGAUGGGGAUAGAUCUUUGGAAUUAUGGAUCUUGAACGAGGAAUGCCUAGUAAGCGUAGGUCAUUAGCCUACGUUGAUUAUGUCCCUGCCCUUUGUACACACCGCCCGUCGCUCCUACCGAUUUCGAGUGGUCCGGUGAAUCUUUCGGACUGCACGUAGCUUCGUGCUAUGUUGCGGAAAGUCAGGUAAACCUUAUCACUUAGAGGAAGGAGAANUCGUANCA
rnacentral:rRNA from 1 species